rnacentral:rRNA from 1 species
UGAACGCUGGCGGCGUGCCUAAUACAUGCAAGUCGAACGAGUUCUGAUUAUUGAAAGGUGCUUGCAUCUUGAUUUUAAUUUUGAACGAGUGGCGGACGGGUGAGUAACACGUGGGUAACCUGCCCUUAAGUGGGGGAUAACAUUUGGAAACAGAUGCUAAUACCGCAUAAAUCCAAGAACCGCAUGGUUCUUGGCUGAAAGAUGGCGUAAGCUAUCGCUUUUGGAUGGACCCGCGGCGUAUUAGCUAGUUGGUGAGGUAACGGCUCACCAAGGCAAUGAUACGUAGCCGAACUGAGAGGUUGAUCGGCCACAUUGGGACUGAGACACGGCCCAAACUCCUACGGGAGGCAGCAGUAGGGAAUCUUCCACAAUGGACGCAAGUCUGAUGGAGCAACGCCGCGUGAGUGAAGAAGGCUUUCGGGUCGUAAAACUCUGUUGUUGGAGAAGAAUGGUCGGCAGAGUAACUGUUGUCGGCGUGACGGUAUCCAACCAGAAAGCCACGGCUAACUACGUGCCAGCAGCCGCGGUAAUACGUAGGUGGCAAGCGUUAUCCGGAUUUAUUGGGCGUAAAGCGAGCGCAGGCGGUUUUUUAAGUCUGAUGUGAAAGCCCUCGGCUUAACCGAGGAAGUGCAUCGGAAACUGGGAAACUUGAGUGCAGAAGAGGACAGUGGAACUCCAUGUGUAGCGGUGAAAUGCGUAGAUAUAUGGAAGAACACCAGUGGCGAAGGCGGCUGUCUGGUCUGUAACUGACGCUGAGGCUCGAAAGCAUGGGUAGCGAACAGGAUUAGAUACCCUGGUAGUCCAUGCCGUAAACGAUGAAUGCUAGGUGUUGGAGGGUUUCCGCCCUUCAGUGCCGCAGCUAACGCAUUAAGCAUUCCGCCUGGGGAGUACGACCGCAAGGUUGAAACUCAAAGGAAUUGACGGGGGCCCGCACAAGCGGUGGAGCAUGUGGUUUAAUUCGAAGCAACGCGAAGAACCUUACCAGGUCUUGACAUCUUUUGAUCACCUGAGAGAUCAGGUUUCCCCUUCGGGGGCAAAAUGACAGGUGGUGCAUGGUUGUCGUCAGCUCGUGUCGUGAGAUGUUGGGUUAAGUCCCGCAACGAGCGCAACCCUUAUGACUAGUUGCCAGCAUUUAGUUGGGCACUCUAGUAAGACUGCCGGUGACAAACCGGAGGAAGGUGGGGAUGACGUCAAAUCAUCAUGCCCCUUAUGACCUGGGCUACACACGUGCUACAAUGGAUGGUACAACGAGUUGCGAGACCGCGAGGUCAAGCUAAUCUCUUAAAGCCAUUCUCAGUUCGGACUGUAGGCUGCAACUCGCCUACACGAAGUCGGAAUCGCUAGUAAUCGCGGAUCAGCACGCCGCGGUGAAUACGUUCCCGGGCCUUGUACACACCGCCCGUCACACCAUGAGAGUUUGUAACACCCGAAGCCGGUGGCGUAACCCUUUUAGGGAGCGAGCCGUCUAAGGUGGGACAAAUGAUUAGGG